AUAAUAAAAAAUAAAAGAGGUUAAACAUUUGAAAAGCAGUUUAAUGAAAUAUAAUUAAAAUGAAAUUUGUGUAGGUUUGAUAAUGUUAGCCAUCGUACUUAUCCUUAUCCCUAUCCCAUAUCUUUCAACCAAAAGUAAACAUGACGAGAUGGUCGGACUGUACAUAAUUAAACUAACGUAAAGGCGUGUGCUCUAGUGCAGCAGUCUCUUCCACUUUUGUCAUCUCUUAUAUCCUUCUUCCACAUUCCUAAUUAUCAACCAGUUUUUUUGACUUCUGCCCCAUAUUUUCCAUCAAUUCUCUAAGCUAAUUAUGAAGCCAUAGAAAGACUAUUCCAAUAAAAGUUCCCUUUUCACUUUUCCAGUUUCAGUACUUCUCUCACAAACCUCUCUCCAAUAUUUAUCUUGCCUUUCCUCCACAAAUCAGGAAAUCACUUUUCUCAUCCCC
rnacentral:lncRNA from 1 species